CUGACCGUAAACUAUGCCAUCUAGCGAUCCGCUUGGGUAUUUUUGCCUGGGCGGGGAGCUUCCCGGAAACGAAAGUCUUUCGGUUCCUGGGGUAGUAUGGUUGCAAAGCUGAAACUUAAAGAAAUUGACGGAAGGGCACCACCAGGAGUGGAGCCUGCGGCUUAAUUUGACUCAACACGGGAAAACUCACCCGGCCCGGACACCGUUAGGAUUGACAGAUUGAAAGCUCUUUCUCGAUUCGGUGGUUGGUGGUGCAUGGCCGUUCUUAGUUGGUGGAGCGAUUUGUCUGGUUUAUUCCGAUAACGAGCGAGACUCUAGCCUGCUAAAUAGUGUGCGAAUACCAUAGGUUCGUACUUACUUCUUAGAGGGAUAAGUGGCGUUAUAGCCACACGAGAUUGAGCGAUAACAGGUCUGUGAUGCCCUUAGAUGUCCGGGGCUGCACGCGCGCUACACUGCAAGAAUCAGCGGGCUCUUCCAUCUUCGAGAGGGGUUGGUAAACCGUUGAAACUCUUGCGUGACCGGGAUAGGGAAUUGUAAUUAUUUCCCUUGAACGAGGAAUUCCUAGUAAGUGUGAGUCAUCACCUCACGUUG
rnacentral:rRNA from 1 species